rnacentral:rRNA from 1 species
UAAUACGGAGGGUGCAAGCGUUAAUCGGAAUUACUGGGCGUAAAGCGCACGCAGGCGGUUUGUUAAGUCAGAUGUGAAAUCCCCGAGCUUAAAUUGGGAACUGCAUUUGAAACUGGCAAGCUAGAGUCUUGUAGAGGGGGGUAGAAUUCCAGGUGUAGCGGUGAAAUGCGUAGAGAUCUGGAGGAAUACCGGUGGCGAAGGCGGCCCCCUGGACAAAGACUGACGCUCAGGUGCGAAAGCGUGGGGAGCAAACAGGAUUAGAUACCCUGGUAGUCCACGCUGUAAACGAUGUCGACUUGGAGGUUGUGCCCUUGAGGCGUGGCUUCCGGAGCUAACGCGUUAAGUCGACCGCCUGGGGAGUACGGCCGCAAGGUUAAA